GGGCGGGCGGAUCGUGGUGGCUGCGCUUGCGAGGACCCUGAGGUAGAUUGGGUGGUUUCAACAGGAACGCAUCCACUGUCUGAGAGUUUAAACUUGAUUUUGUGAGGGGACGAACAGCGUGACAAUUAAAAGAAGAUCUGGGAAUCAAAAGCUUCCUGAGGCCUUCACCAGAAGCAGAUGCUGGUGCCGUGCUUCUACAGCCUGCAGAACUGAAGGACUUUACAGCUUCUCUUUCGCAUAUCCAAAUUGCCAGCAUCACCGCUCUUGCACUCCAAGCCAUUAUUAAGUAAAGUAAAGAACACAAACACUGUGAUACUGCUACACUUGAUCUGAUAACCAAGAAGUCUACUAAGUGACUAACAGAGCAACUGGGAACCUAAUUCUGACCAAAAAGGAGGAAUUGUUUGGCUAAUUGGAAGUGACAGAAACCUUGGGAGAAAGCAACCGCAUACCAAGGAUAAUUAUAAGAAGAAGAGAAGACAUGGAGAAGAGGAGGGAGUAGUUGUGACCGUGGAGGCAGAGAAUGGAGUAAUGUGAUCAUAAAUCAAGGAAUGCUGACAGCCACUAAAGCUGGAGAAGGCCAAGGACAGAUAUUCAAUCCUCCCGUAGAAGUACAGCCCUGCUAAUGCAUUGAUUUUGGACUUCUGGCCUCAGAACUAUUUAUAUAUCAGCUUUUUAUCAGUUGAAAUAAACCACCCUGGGCCGGGUGCAGUGGCUCACACCUGUAAUCCCAGCACUUUGGGAGGCCGAGGCAGGUAGAUCAUUUGAGGUCAGGAGUUCAAGGCCAGCCUGACCAACAUGGUGAAACCGCAUCUCUACUAAAAAAUACAAAAAUUAGCCCGGUGUUGUGGCAGGCGCUUGCAAUCCCAGCUACUCAGGAGGCUGAGGCACAAGAAUUCCUUGAACCUGGGAGGUGGAGGUUGCAGUGAGUCGAAACCAAGCCACUGCCCUCCAGUCUGGGCAACAGAUUGAGAGUCUGUCUCGAAAAAAAUAAAUACAUAAAAUAAAUAAGCCACACUGUACUUGUGAAGAUUAACUGAGAUGUUUAAAACAUUAUUUGCAAAAAUGCAAGACAUGAUGUAAGUGUAAAGCAUUAUUAUAUAUCAACAUAAUUGACCAUUAGAAAAAUGCAAAUUAACACCUCAAUGAGAUAUAUCACCAGACACCUGUUAGAAUGGUUAAAAUAAAAAGUACUGAUGAUAUUAAGUGCUGAUAAAAUGCAGAGUAACUCGAUCUCUCAUACAUUGCUGAUGCUAAUGUAAAAUGAUAUCACCACUCUAGAAAACAGUUUGGCAGUUUCUUAUAAAGUUAAACAUGCACUUACUAUACAACCCAGUAAUACACCUACUGGAUAUUCAUUCUAGGGAGAUCAAAAUUUACACCCAAAAACAUGUACAUAAAUGUUCAUAUCAGCUUUAUUUACAAUAGCCCAAAAGGAAACAAUCAGAUGUCCUCCAAUUGAUAACUGGUAUAACCCUAUCACAGAAUCCUACUGAGCAAUAAAAAGGAAAGCACUGUUGAUACAUACAACAACUUGAGUGCAUUUCAAG
ensembl:lncRNA TMEM161B-DT TMEM161B divergent transcript